GCUCUUUAACAAUUUAUCAGACAAUCUGUGUGGGCACUCGAAGAUACGGAUUCUUAACGUCGCAAGACGAAAAAUGAAUACCAAGUCUCAAGAGUGAACACGUAAUUCAUUACGAAGUUUAAUUCUUUGAGCNGGGAUAACUACUGGAAACGGUAGCUAAUACCGCAUAACGUCGCAAGACCAAAGAGGGGGACCUUCGGGCCUCUUGCCAUCGGAUGUGCCCAGAUGGGAUUAGCUAGUAGGUGGGGUAACGGCUCACCUAGGCGACGAUCCCUAGCUGGUCUGAGAGGAUGACCAGCCACACUGGAACUGAGACACGGUCCAGACUCCUACGGGAGGCAGCAGUGGGGAAUAUUGCACAAUGGGCGCAAGCCUGAUGCAGCCAUGCCGCGUGUAUGAAGAAGGCCUUCGGGUUGUAAAGUACUUUCAGCGGGGAGGAAGGGAGUAAAGUUAAUACCUUUGCUCAUUGACGUUACCCGCAGAAGAAGCACCGGCUAACUCCGUGCCAGCAGCCGCGGUAAUACGGAGGGUGCAAGCGUUAAUCGGAAUUACUGGGCGUAAAGCGCACGCAGGCGGUUUGUUAAGUCAGAUGUGAAAUCCCCGGGCUCAACCUGGGAACUGCAUCUGAUACUGGCAAGCUUGAGUCUCGUAGAGGGGGGUAGAAUUCCAGGUGUAGCGGUGAAAUGCGUAGAGAUCUGGAGGAAUACCGGUGGCGAAGGCGGCCCCCUGGACGAAGACUGACGCUCAGGUGCGAAAGCGUGGGGAGCAAACAGGAUUAGAUCCCCUGGUAGUCCACGCCGUAAACGAUGUCGACUUGGAGGUUGUGCCCUUGAGGCGUGGCUUCCGGAGCUAACGCGUUAAGUCGACCGCCUGGGGAGUACGGCCGCAAGGUUAAAACUCAAAUGAAUUGACGGGGGCCCGCACAAGCGGUGGAGCAUGUGGUUUAAUUCGAUGCAACGCGAAGAACCUUACCUGGUCUUGACAUCCACNGUGAGACAGGUGCUGCAUGGCUGUCGUCAGCUCGUGUUGUGAAAUGUUGGGUUAAGUCCCGCAACGAGCGCAACCCUUAUCCUUUGUUGCCAGCGGUCCGGCCGGGAACUCAAAGGAGACUGCCAGUGAUAAACUGGAGGAAGGUGGGGAUGACGUCAAGUCAUCAUGGCCCUUACGACCAGGGCUACACACGUGCUACAAUGGCGCAUACAAAGAGAAGCGACCUCGCGAGAGCAAGCGGACCUCAUAAAGUGCGUCGUAGUCCGGAUUGGAGUCUGCAACUCGAUUCCAUGAAGUCGGAAUCGCUAGUAAUCGUGGAUCAGAAUGCCACGGUGAAUACGUUCCCGGGCCUUGUACACACCGCCCGUCACACCAUGGGAGUGGGUUGCAAAAGAAGUAGGUAGCUUAACCUUCGGGAGGGCGCUUACCACUUUGUGAUUCAUGACUGGGGUGAAGUCGUAACAAGGUAACCGUAGGGGAACCUGCGGUUG
rnacentral:rRNA from 1 species